CCUGAUGGCUCAGAUGGUAAAGCGUCUGCCUACAAUGCGGGAGACCCGGGUUCAAAUCCCUGGGUCGGGA
rnacentral:tRNA from 1 species